ensembl:lncRNA
CCAGGACCAAUCUGAUUUUGAUUCAAUCAUUUUGUUAACCAUUCCCUGCAGUUGAAAAAUUGUGUGACCUUGCAAUGUUUUAUCUUGGCAUACUAUCUGUUUAUAGAAAGCUUCUGGUCAGUAAAAAAGACAGCGUGUGCAGUGAGAGCCAGUAGUUCCCACUGGAGGGAUGAGCGUGAUCACCAUCGAGAACGGCAGAAACCAGGUGGUGUAUUCGCAUGAACGAUCCUUCCUUCCACCUGAGCACAGCUGACUGAUCUCAAGACAAGAACGCGUGCUGUGAGAAGAAGCAGGAUGGUUGCGCUCUGCUGUGAGAAGGAAACCCCAUUUGGAUUGCUCUUUGUUUCCAUCCAGAUCAUAGCUCUAGCCGUGUGAGAAGUAGUCUUGUUUAUAAAGUUCCUGUCAUAGGCAUGGCUGGCUGACUGGAUGAUUUGGCAUAGCUUCAUCCAGCUGUGCACAUAUACUACAAUUGUGAGACAGUUUUAUCUUUUCACAGUAGGGCUCCAGAAGGUAAUGCAGGCCUACAGAGUUAGGAAGUAAACUAAGCCUUGGCUAGAACCAGAUCUACCAACCCAGUUUAUAUAUAUGAGGCCAAAGAAAAUCUGGUGUAAAGACACCAGGUCUGCUCGAGGUCUUGCAGGUUUCUCAGACACGAGCUGUGCAGCAUCAGACUACACAACUCCCAUCAACAUGGUGAGGAAGGAAGGAGAAGAGAGACAUGAGUGGUGUCACUGCUGCAGAAUUACUCUGAAACUUCAUCUUAAAAACAACGAGUAAGACGACCUGGUAGUUUGCAGCACAACUCAAGAACUUAGGUACAACUGGGAGGUAAAGGAAGAGCUUAAUAUCCCAUGAAAACCUGGCUUAUCUGAAUAAGGUAAUUUCUUUAUGCUAUACUUCAUUUUUGUUAUUUCAAACAGAUUGCUCAGAGCAUGCUGCCACUAUCUUCCACCCUGAUAUUGCAGUAAGUUGUUUUACAGACCCUGUUCAUUUAGGCUGGCUCUUACUGAAAUUAUGUUAGUGAAGUUAGAAAGUACAAUUUUGUUAAGAGGUCUUGAAUUUGUGCCUGAAGAGCAAUAACUAGCACAGCUAUGUUGUAUUUGAAUUUGGGGAGGCAUGUGAGCAUCAUCAGGGUCAGUUUGCAAUGUUAUAUGAGGACCAGAAAGAAUCUGAGUCUGAUGAACACAGUAAGUACCUAUCCCUGGCUACAGGUAUGAGGGAAGUUUUAGCAUGCCUUACCAUUUAUUUCCUUCUCUUCCCCUCUUUCUUUUACUCUAACAGUUAAAAAAUUAUUGUAGUUGUUCUGUUGUCAUCUUGUGAAAGACCUACUUCAUAUUUAGUUUUAAGUAGUCCAUUUUCCUGAGUAGUUUCCACUUGAAGGUAGUUUUAGCGGUAAUUGUGUCCCGGUACCAGACUUUAGGUUAUAGUAGUUUUGCCUUUAUGUAUAUCAGCAAGCAAUUCUUCUCCUUCUCCUUCUCCUUCUCCUCCUUUUCCCUUUCCCUUUCCCUUUCCGUUUCCCUCUCCCUUUCCCUUUCCGUUUCCCUUUCCCUUCAAAUCCACGUUGAAUUACCAUGCUUUAGUGGGAAACAAAAACAAAAACCCACUAGCAAGUCAUGGUUCUUCAUGUAAGUAUGACAAAGCUUAAUACU